UUAAGUUAUUAAGGGCGCACGGUGGAUGCCUUGGCACUAGAAGCCGAUGAAGGACGUUACUAACGACGAUAUGCUUUGGGGAGCUGUAAGUAAGCUUUGAUCCAGAGAUUUCCGAAUGGGGAAACCCAGCAUGAGUUAUGUCAUGUUAUCGAUAUGUGAAUACAUAGCAUAUCAGAAGGCACACCCGGAGAACUGAAACAUCUUAGUACCCGGAGGAAGAGAAAGAAAAUUCGAUUCCCUUAGUAGCGGCGAGCGAAACGGGAAGAGCCCAAACNNCUGGAAAGAUGAAUCAAAGAAGGUAAUAAUCCUGUAGUCGAAAAUGUUGUCUCUCUUGAGUGGAUCCUGAGUACGACGGAGCACGUGAAAUUCCGUCGGAAUCUGGGAGGACCAUCUCCUAAGGCUAAAUACUCUCUAGUGACCGAUAGUGAACCAGUACCGUGAGGGAAAGGUGAAAAGCACCCCGGAAGGGGAGUGAAAUAGAACCUGAAACCGUGUGCUUACAAGUAGUCAGAGCCCGUUAAUGGGUGAUGGCGUGCCUUUUGUAGAAUGAACCGGCGAGUUACGAUUUGAUGCAAGGUUAAGCAGUAAAUGUGGAGCCGUAGCGAAAGCGAGUCUGAAUAGGGCGUUUAGUAUUUGGUCGUAGACCCGAAACCAGGUGAUCUACCCUUGGUCAGGUUGAAGUUCAGGUAACACUGAAUGGAGGACCGAACCGACUUACGUUGAAAAGUGAGCGGAUGAACUGAGGGUAGCGGAGAAAUUCCAAUCGAACCUGGAGAUAGCUGGUUCUCUCCGAAAUAGCUUUAGGGCUAGCCUCAAGUGAUGAUUAUUGGAGGUAGAGCACUGUUUGGACGAGGGGCCCCUCUCGGGUUACCGAAUUCAGACAAACUCCGAAUGCCAAUUAAUUUAACUUGGGAGUCAGAACAUGGGUGAUAAGGUCCGUGUUCGAAAGGGAAACAGCCCAGACCACCAGCUAAGGUCCCAAAAUAUAUGUUAAGUGGAAAAGGAUGUGGCGUUGCCCAGACAACUAGGAUGUUGGCUUAGAAGCAGCCAUCAUUUAAAGAGUGCGUAAUAGCUCACUAGUCGAGUGACACUGCGCCGAAAAUGUACCGGGGCUAAACAUAUUACCGAAGCUGUGGAUUGUCCUUUGGACAAUGGUAGGAGAGCGUUCUAAGGGCGUUGAAGCAUGAUCGCAAGGACAUGUGGAGCGCUUAGAAGUGAGAAUGCCGGUGUGAGUAGCGAAAGACGGGUGAGAAUCCCGUCCACCGAUUGACUAAGGUUUCCAGAGGAAGGCUCGUCCGCUCUGGGUUAGUCGGGUCCUAAGCUGAGGCCGACAGGCGUAGGCGAUGGAUAACAGGUUGAUAUUCCUGUACCACCUAUAAUCGUUUUAAUCGAUGGGGGGACGCAGUAGGAUAGGCGAAGCGUGCGAUUGGAUUGCACGUCUAAGCAGUAAGGCUGAGUAUUAGGCAAAUCCGGUACUCGUUAAGGCUGAGCUGUGAUGGGGAGAAGACAUUGUGUCUUCGAGUCGUUGAUUUCACACUGCCGAGAAAAGCCUCUAGAUAGAAAAUAGGUGCCCGUACCGCAAACCGACACAGGUAGUCAAGAUGAGAAUUCUAAGGUGAGCGAGCGAACUCUCGUUAAGGAACUCGGCAAAAUGACCCCGUAACUUCGGGAGAAGGGGUGCUCUUUAGGGUUAACGCCCAGAAGAGCCGCAGUGAAUAGGCCCAAGCGACUGUUUAUCAAAAACACAGGUCUCUGCUAAACCGUAAGGUGAUGUAUAGGGGCUGACGCCUGCCCGGUGCUGGAAGGUUAAGAGGAGUGGUUAGCUUCUGCGAAGCUACGAAUCGAAGCCCCAGUAAACGGCGGCCGUAACUAUAACGGUCCUAAGGUAGCGAAAUUCCUUGUCGGGUAAGUUCCGACCCGCACGAAAGGCGUAACGAUUUGGGCACUGUCUCAACGAGAGACUCGGUGAAAUCAUAGUACCUGUGAAGAUGCAGGUUACCCGCGACAGGACGGAAAGACCCCGUGGAGCUUUACUGUAGCCUGAUAUUGAAAUUCGGCACAGCUUGUACAGGAUAGGUAGGAGCCUUUGAAACGUGAGCGCUAGCUUACGUGGAGGCGCUGGUGGGAUACUACCCUAGCUGUGUUGGCUUUCUAACCCGCACCACUUAUCGUGGUGGGAGACAGUGUCAGGCGGGCAGUUUGACUGGGGCGGUCGCCUCCUAAAAGGUAACGGAGGCGCUCAAAGGUUCCCUCAGAAUGGUUGGAAAUCAUUCAUAGAGUGUAAAGGCAUAAGGGAGCUUGACUGCGAGACCUACAAGUCGAGCAGGGUCGAAAGACGGACUUAGUGAUCCGGUGGUUCCGCAUGGAAGGGCCAUCGCUCAACGGAUAAAAGCUACCCCGGGGAUAACAGGCUUAUCUCCCCCAAGAGUUCACAUCGACGGGGAGGUUUGGCACCUCGAUGUCGGCUCAUCGCAUCCUGGGGCUGUAGUCGGUCCCAAGGGUUGGGCUGUUCGCCCAUUAAAGCGGUACGCGAGCUGGGUUCAGAACGUCGUGAGACAGUUCGGUCCCUAUCCGUCGUGGGCGUAGGAAAUUUGAGAGGAGCUGUCCUUAGUACGAGAGGACCGGGAUGGACAUACCUCUGGUGUACCAGUUGUCGUGCCAACGGCAUAGCUGGGUAGCUAUGUGUGGACGGGAUAAGUGCUGAAAGCAUCUAAGCAUGAAGCCCCCCUCAAGAUGAGAUUUCCCAACUUCGGUUAUAAGAUCCCUCAAAGAUGAUGAGGUUAAUAGGUUCGAGGUGGAAGCAUGGUGACAUGUGGAGCUGACGAAUACUAAUCGAUCGAAGACUUAAUCAA
rnacentral:rRNA from 1 species